rnacentral:tRNA from 2 species
GGAACCGUAGCUCAGUUGGUAGAGCACCUGAUUGAAGCUCAGGGUGUGGUUGGUUCAAUUCCAGCCGGUUCCACCA